GACGAACGCUGGCGGCGUGCUUAACACAUGCAAGUCGAACGAAGUGGCGAACGGGUGAGUACUACGUGAGUAACCUGCCCUCCUUUUUGGGAUAAGCCUUGGAAACGGGGUCUAAUACCUAAUAAAGGGGGAUGGGGUGGGGGCCUAGCGGCUCGUUGGUGGGGUUAUGUCCUACCAAGGCGGCGACGGGUAGCCGGCCUGAGAGGGUGGACGGGGACAGUGGGACUGAGACACGGCGCAGACUCCUACGGGAGGAAGCAGUGGAGAAUAUUGCACAAUGGGCGGAAGCCUGAUGCAGCGACGCCGCGUGGGGGAUGACGGCCUUCGGGUUGUAAACUCCUUUCACCAUCAACGCGGUAGAUGGAGAGGAAGCACCGGCUAACUACGUGCCAGCAGCCGCGGUAAUUC
rnacentral:rRNA from 1 species